UACAGAGACCUCAAACGUUAUCCGGAUUCAUUGGGCGUAAAGCGUCCGCAGGUGGUUUGAAAAGUUGGUGGUUAAAUCCUGGAGCUUAACUUCAGGACUGCUGUCAAAACUCUCAGACUUGAGGGUGGGAGAGGUAAGCGGAACUGCCGGUGUAGUCGUAAUAAGCGCUGAUAUCGGCAGGAACACCAAAGGCGAAGGCAGCUUACUGGAACACACCUGACACUCAUGGACGAAAGCGUGGGGAGCGAAUAGG
rnacentral:misc_RNA from 1 species